ACCAGUGAUCGACACAUAAGCGAAAGUCACUUAAGUGACUUCUCAUUUAAUAUAUAGGAAGAUUAAAAUUUAGUGGCAAAACUGAAUUUGGGAGAAACCAAGGAGACCUCAAAAGUUACCGUUCAUUUUCCUAAUUCAAUCCAUCCUCCAAUUUUUUAUCGGUAUGCAAUUCAAUUUAAUUAUUGUAUUAACUAAUAUGUUUGGAAAAAUAAUGUAUAGAAGCUCAUUGGACACAAAAAUACUCAAAAGAUUCUGCAAUGGGCAAAUCUCCAAAAUAGCACAUUUCUAAGUUUAUAUCACAAAAAUAGCACUCAAAAACUAAAAUGACCAAAAUAGCACCUUUUUAAGUUUAUCCUU
rnacentral:lncRNA from 1 species